rnacentral:rRNA from 1 species
AAUAUUGGACAAUGGGGGCAACCCUGACCCAGCCAUGCCGCGCGUGUGAAGAAGGUCUCCGGAUUGUAAAGCACUUUAAGUUGGGAGGAAGGGCUUUAGGUUAAUACCCUGAAGUUUUGACGCGACCAACAGAAUAAGCACCGUCUAACUCUGUGCCAGCAGCCGCGGUAAUACAGAGGGUGCAAGAGUUAAUCGGAAUUACUGGGCGUAAAGCGCGCGUAGGUGGUUCAGUAAGAUGGGUGUGAAAUCCCCGGGCUUAACCUGGGAACUGCUUUCAUAACUGCUGGGCUAGAGUACGGUAGAGGGUAGUGGAAUUUCCUGUGUAGCGGUGGAAUGCGUAGAUAUAGGAAGGAACACCAGUGGCGAAGGCGACUACCUGGACUGAUACUGACACUGAGGUGCGAAAGCGUGGGGAGCAGAC